CUCCUCCUACGGGAGGCAGCAGUGGGGGAUAUUGCACAAUGGGGGGAACCCUGAUGCAGCGACGCCGCGUGGGUGAAGGAGCGCUUCGGCGCGUAAAGCCCUAUCGGCAGGGAAGAAGAUGACGGUACCUGACCAAGAAGCACCGGCUAACUCCGUGCCAGCAGCCGCGGUAAUACGGAGGGUGCGAGCGUUAUCCGGAUUUACUGGGUGUAAAGGGGGCGCAGACGGCGAUGCAAGCCAGGAGUGAAAGCCCGGGGCCCAACCCCGGGACUGCUCUUGGAACUGCGUGGCUGGAGUGCAGGAGG
rnacentral:rRNA from 1 species